rnacentral:lncRNA from 1 species
AGGGAAUUUAGGUCAUCAUCUUGCUUUUCAUGCCUGUUGGGAUAUCCAGGUCUUUCUGUGGUGGGAGAACUGGUUUAUACUGGUGCCAGAUUUCAUUGGAUUCUGUUGAUUAUGAUUCUGUGCUUGCCUCUGGCCAUAUGGUUAUAUGGUUAACUCUGGUGUUAACUGAACUGGCCAUCUCUGACUACAGUCAGUCUUCAUGGAGGCAGAUAGAGCCCUUUUCCAUGGCAGCAGGCAGUACUGUCUCUGGUUAGAAUUAACCUCUUGUGUCUCUGGUUAGAGUAGGUCUCCUGUUUCCCUGGUUACUGGGAACCUCAAGGGAAACAGGCAGGCUGUGUCCUUGGGUACUUUGAGCCUCCUGGGAGGCAGAUAGGCUGUGAGAUGUGGAAGGGUAUCAGGCCCAUUGAUCUGGUCCAAGUCAUGCAAAAGACCAGUAGAAAGGUAGAGCUGGACAGGGUGGGUGGGUCUCGUGCCACUUUGUCUCUGUGUCUUUGCUUAGUUCAAACCUUCUAGGAGACAAGUAGACUGUGGUUUGUGAGUGGGUAUCUGGCUGCUGAACUGGCCUGUGUCUUUCAUUACUGAGGACUUUCUUGGAAGCACACAGUCUAUAGGUGUGGGUGGGUGAUUUUCUGAGAUUUGUUUUUAAUUUCACCCAAGUAAUUACUGAAGAGACACAGGAUUCCUGUCCUUAUCUCUGUGCAUCAAAUCUUGCACUUUCCUGUCCCUGUGCAGAGCCAAAGCAGUUAGUAUCCACUUCCCCCAACCCCCCUUUUCUCAAGCAUAGAUGCCUCCUGCCUUUGGAGAGGGCAAACAGGAGCCCAGUCUGGUGCCCAAAUAGUGCAGUCCCUUUUUAGUGACAGUACCCCCUCCCCUGAUUAACCACCAGCAUUUGUCUGGUGCAGAUGGCUCCUCCCAUUGAGGAAGCAGGAACCAAUAUCCUUCAAAUGAUAAGAGCCCACUCUUGGACUAUGGGAAAGAGUCCUCCCACCUCCUCAGAAAC